GACGAACGCUGGCGGCGUGCUUAACACAUGCAAGCCGAACGGUAAGGCCCUUCGGGGUACACGUGUGGCGAACGGGUGAGUAACACGUGGGUGAUCUGCCCUGCACUUCGGGAUAAGCCUGGGAAACUGGGUCUAAUACCGGAUAGGACCACUGCCUGCAUGGGUGGUGGUGGAAAGCUUUUGCGGUGUGGGAUGGGCCCGCGGCCUAUCAGCUUGUUGGUGGGGUGAUGGCCUACCAAGGCGACGACGGGUAGCCGGCCUGGGAGGGUGACCGGGCACGCUGGGACGGGGAUACGGCCGAGCCUGUUUCGGGGGGCAGCAGUGGGGAAGAUUGCACAAUGGGCGCAAGCCUGAUGCAGCGACGCCGCGUGAGGGAUGGCGGCCUUCGGGUUGUAAACCUCUUUCAGCGCCGACGAAGCGCAAGUGGCGGUAGGUGCAGAAGAAGGACCGGCCAAGUACGUGCCAGCCGCCGCCGUAAGAC
rnacentral:rRNA from 1 species